rnacentral:rRNA from 1 species
CUGUACCUACGGGACGCAGCAGUGAGGAAUAUUGGUCAAUGGCCGGAAGGCUGAACCAGCCAAGCCGCGUGAAGGACGAAGGUGCCAAGCAUUGUAAACUUCUUUUGUCAAGGGACAAAAUCAGGCUCGAGAGCCUGACCGAGGGAACUUGAAGAAAAAGCAUCGGCUAACUCCGUGCCAGCAGCCGCGGUAAUACGGAGGAUGCGAGCGUUAUCCGGAUUUAUUGGGUUUAAAGGGUGCGUAGGCGGACUGUUAAGUCAGCGGUAAAAGCUCGGGGAUCA